rnacentral:rRNA from 1 species
CACGUAGGGCGCAAGCGUUGUCCGGAAUUACUGAGCGUAAAGAGCUCGUAGGCGGUCUGGUGCGUCUGCUGUGAAAACUCGGGGCUUAACCCCGAGCCUGCAGUGGAUACGGGCAGACUAGAGGUAGGCAGGGGAGAAUGGAAUUCCCGGUGUAGCGGUGAAAUGCGCAGAUAUCGGGAAGAACACCCGUGGCGAAGGCGGUUCUCUGGGACGGUACUGACGCUGAGACGCGAAAGCGUGGGGAGCGAACAGG